CGAAAUAUAGCUUAACUAAAGCAUCUCGCUUACACGAAAAAAUGGCCGUGAAACCAGACUGUUCGAG
rnacentral:tRNA from 1 species